AAAACCCAUUUCUGAAAAUCAAAAGCAUUUCUUUUUGUGGUUAAAGCUUCAUCUGAAGCAUCGAAAGAUGAAGAGUAUGAGGCCUUAUUUGAUCAAGGUUGAGCUUAUGAUUGUGGUCACUACUGCAUUUCCAUGUGGGGUUACAACCGUUUUCAUUCUUCAAUCUUGUAAGGAAAAGAGAAUUGAAUGAGCGUUGGGAAAAUGAUUUGAGAGAAGGCUUACGACUAUACAAGAAUGUGAAGUACGAGGAAGCAUUAGAG